AUCCCUCCCAACAAGGACGACCGCAUCCCCCGCGCUCGCUUCUCCAUGUCUCCCAACGGGGACAACCGCAUCGUCGACUGCCGCCACGGACUUGUACUUUUCCUCGGCCGCGGCCCGCCGCACCACCUACUUGUGUGGGACCCCGUCGCCCGCGAGCAGCGCCGCCUGUUCCUCCCACCAGAGCUGGACUUCUUCAACGCAGCGGUGCUUCGCCCUACCCGUGGCCAUUUCCAGGUGGCCCUGAUAACAUAUGCAGGAAUGACAAGAUUUUCCGCAUGCCUUUACUCAUCGGAGACUGGCAUAUGGGGCAAUAUCAACUCACUGGAGCUGGAAUCGUAUAUACUACCUUUGGAAGGAGCCAGUACUUUGAUUGGGAAUUCCUUUUGCUGGUUACUUACGGGUCGUUAUCGCCAUGUCAUACUUGAGUUUGAUCUGGAUACACAGAGCCUAGCUGUGACAGAGCUGCCACCACUCGAAGGCGACCAAGAAUUAAGGAUUGUACCUGCCCAAGAUGGUGGGCUUGGCUUCAUCCAUGUCUCACAAUUCCAUGCCCAAUUAUGGAAGAGAAAGCCUGAUUCUGAUGGUUUGGCUUUGGCUGUAUGGGUGCUCGAUAAAGCUAUUGAAUUUGAGGAGCUCAGAUCAACUUACAAGGGAGACUCCAUCACUUUAGUGGGGUUUGCUGAGGAGAGUAAUGCAGUCCUUGCACUGACAGUUUCUGGUGUCUUCAUGGUCAACCUCCAGUCAGUGGAGUUUAAGAAAAUUUCCAAUGUGAGGUCCAAUUUUUCCUAUUAUCCAUUUGCAUGUUGCUAUGCUGCAAGUAAUAACAAGCCUUCAUAUAAUUUACUUCACAGUGUUAUAAAUAAAUUU
rnacentral:rRNA from 1 species